CCUACGAGUGGCAGCAGUGGGGAAUAUUGCACAAUGGGGGAAACCCUGAUGCAGCGACGCCGCGUGAGUGAAGCAGUAUUUCGGCAUGUACAGCUCUAUCAGCAGGGAAGAAAAUGCCGGUACCUGACUAAGAAGCCCCGGCUAACUACGUGCCAGCAGCCGCGGUAAUACGUAGGGGGCAAGCGUUAUCCGGAUUUACUGGGUGUAAAGGGAGCGUAGACGGGGAUGCAAGUCAGAAGUGAAAGCCCGGGGCCCAACUCCGGGACUGCUUUUGAAACUGUGUAACUGGAGUGCAGGAGAGGUAAGCGGAAUUCCUGGUGUAGCGGUGAAAUGCGUAGAUAUCAGGAGGAACACCAGUGGCGAAGGCGGCUUACUGGACUGUAACUGACGUUGAGGCUCGAAGGCGUGGGGAGCAAACAGGAUUAGAUACCCGAGUAGUC
rnacentral:rRNA from 1 species